rnacentral:rRNA from 1 species
CCUACGGGUGGCAGCAGUGAGGAAUAUUGGUCAAUGGACGAGAGUCUGAACCAGCCAAGUAGCGUGAAGGAUGAAUGCCCUGUGGGUUGUAAACUUCUUUUAUAUGGGAAUAAAAUGUUCCACGUGUGGGAUUUUGUGUGUACCAUAUGAAUAAGGAUCGGCUAACUCCGUGCCAGCAGCCGCGGUAAUACGGAGGAUCCGAGCGUUAUCCGGAUUUAUUGGGUUUAAAGGGAGCGUAGGUGGAUUGUUAAGUCAGUUGUGAAAGUUUGCGGCUCAACCGUAAAAUUGCAGUUGAAACUGGCAGUCUUGAGUACAGUAGAGGUGGGCGGAAUUCGUGGUGUAGCGGUGAAAUGCUUAGAUAUCACGAAGAACUCCGAUUGCGAAGGCAGUUCACUGGACUGCAACUGACACUGAGGCUCGAAAGUGUGGGUAUCAAACAGGAUUAGAUACCCGAGUAGUC